GAAACCGAACGCCUACAAUCAGUCGGAGCUGCGGCCUUGUGCCGUUGUGACGGCGUACCUUUUGUAUAAUGGGUCAUCGACUUGGUCUAUCUAGCAAGCUUAAGCCGUUAGGUGUAGGCGCAGCGAAAGCGAGUCUUAAUAGGGCGAAUGAGUUUGAGGGAUCAGACCCGAAACCGAGUGAUCUAGGUAUGAGCAGGCUGAAGG
rnacentral:rRNA from 1 species